rnacentral:rRNA from 1 species
CUGGACCGGACGGCUGCUGGCGGGCACGUUCUCGGAUGACUCACGCCUAUCGGCGCCGCUAUAGCUUUGAGUAAUCUCAGAACCCGUCUUGAAACACGGACCAAGGAGUCUAGCAUGUGCGCGAGUCAUUGGGACUUGUAAACCUACUGGCGAAAUGAAAGUAAAGGCCGCCUUGUGCGCGCCUACUGAGGAUGGGUCGAACCGCGGUGUGGCCCCGCACUCCUGGGGCAUUUCGUGCCCAUUGCGGGCUGAGGCGCACCGAGAGCGCAAAUGCUGGGACCCGAAAGAUGGUGAACUAUGCCUGGUCAGAACGAAGUCAGGGGAAACCCUGAUGGAGGUUCGUAGCGAUUCUGACGUGCAAAUCGAUCGUCG